UACGUAGGUGGCGAGCGUUGUCCGGAUUUACUGGGCGUAAAGCGCGCGCAGGCGGACUGAUCAGUCUGGGGUGAAAUCUCACGGCUCAACUGUGAGCGGUCCCUGGAUACUGUCAGCCUUGAGAUGUCUAGAGGAGAGCGGAAUUCCCGGUGUAGUGGUGGAAUGCGUAGAUAUCGGGAAGAACACCAGUGGCGAAAGCGGCUCUCUGGGGACCAUCUGACGCUGAGGCGCGAAAACGUGGGGAGCGAACCGG
rnacentral:rRNA from 1 species